AGCGAACGUUAGCGGCGCGCCUAACACAUGCAAGUCGCACGAGAAACGGAGCAAUCCGCGGUACAGUGGCGCACGGGUGAGUAACACGUGGAUGACCUUCCCUGGAGUGGUGGAUAACCUGCCGAAAGGCGGGCCAAUACAGCAUGGGACCACGACGCUUUGGCGAUGUGGUGAAAGCGGGCCUCUAUAUAUAAGCUCGCGCUCCGGGACGGGUCCGCGUCCCAUCAGCUAGUUGGUGAGGUAACGGCUCACCAAGGCAACGACGGGUAGCUGGUCUGAGAGGAUGGCCAGCCACACUGGAACUGAGACACGGUCCAGACUCCUACGGGAGGCAGCAGUGGGGAAUCUUGCGCAAUGGGCGAAAGCCUGACGCAGCGACGCCGCGUGGGCGAAGAAGGCCUC
rnacentral:rRNA from 1 species